AACAUCGCGCACCUGCGGGAACCUGCGGAGGGAUCAUUAAUACGCCGUGGAGUCGCCUUUUGGUAUGACCUUCCACAUGGCCCACCCUUGUUUAUCUUUAACCUGUUGCUUUGGUGGGCCUGCUGUAAGGCUGCCGGGGAAUGUCAAUGUUUUCGGGCUUGUGCCCACCAAAGUCUUUUAUGAACUCUUUGUUUUGUUGAGCCGUCUGAGUUUUUUGGGUUAAAAUAUUUUAAAAACUUU
rnacentral:misc_RNA from 1 species